rnacentral:lncRNA from 1 species
AUGGUUAAUUAUUGUAUCUAUUUGGGGUCUAUAGUUGCUAGUUUAAUACAAAAAACAUCUCUGGGUAAAAUUUUCAUUCCUUUAGGUUUUCUUCACUGUAUACUAAUUUCCUUUAAAAAUAAUCCUGUUUUUUUAGAUUUGAGAAAGUCCAUCCAUGGGAGCAGGACAAAGAGAAAGAAUCUGAUCAUCCCUAAGAGGUUUCAAGACUGGUGCCUGUUUUCACAACUCAUUAUUCCUGAGGGAAUUCUUUAGGAAAAAAAGUUGACAGGAGAUGAUUCACACUAGAUGUAAAUAUGUGUACAGAACGCAGUGGUACAGAGAGUAUAACAUCUGAAAUCAGAAAAGGUAACUCCACCAUUUGCUUGCACUGUUAUGUUUUAAAAAGCUAACCCAUAUUCAGUGUUUUCACCUAUAAAAUGGAGAUAAUGGAGAUAAUUACACAAAAACAUUAGAAAUAUUGCAAAGGUUCAUUGAAAUGAGGAAUACUAAUUGCCUAAUGUGACCCUGGCAUAUAAUGGAUAAUAUGUAAAACAAACAAACAAACAAAAAGCAUGUGGUUUCUUUCUUCCCUAAACAGCCAGCCAAAGUGCUGAUGUCCUGCCAAUCACAUCAGCAGGUCAUUUCACACAGAUCUUCAUAGCUUGUUCUUCUACUUGGCCAAAGGCUCAUCUAACUCUACUAAAAACAUUGCUUUUCUUUAAAAGUCUUUCCCCUCUUACUGCUAUCUCUCUCCUGCCAGCAUCUUAUCAUUCCAGGAAAGCUGAAGGCCCACAGGCUGCCCAAAUAACUACAUGUGUUUGCCUUGAGUGAAACACUAGAUUGAUGACUCCAAUACUUCACUCACUGUGCAUCUAUACUCUUUGCCAUGGUUGGGGUGAUGUCCCCUUUACUCUGGUUUGGCAGUGGGGCUGCCUUUGGCCAAUGGAUGUUAGCAGAGUUGACACUAGAAGAGGCUUGAAAAGUACUUGUUUAUUACCACCUUUGCCCUCUCAUGCCAUGAUGACCACCAUGAGAACAAACACAGGUGGGCCUUCUGAGGAUAAAAGGGACAUGAAGGAGAGCUGAGUCACCCCAGGUACCCUCGCUAAGCCCAAUCUAAAUUGCUAACCUAAAGACCUAUAAGCUAGCUAAUAUUUAUCAUUCUAAGCUGCUGAGUUUUCUGGGAUUUGUUAUCCAACACUACUUUGGCUGUAAAUAACUGGUAAACUCUGUCAAAGAUGAGCAUGUUGUCAACUGCCAUCAGGGGCCUGCAGAAAUUAUUUCUGCUGAGAGAAUUAAUUACAAGUUUUAAAAUUGAAAACACCUAUACACUGUGGGUAGGAGUGUAAAUUCGUUGAAAUCAUUGUGAAAGAUAGUGUGGCUAUUCCUCAAGGACCUAAAACAGAAUACCAUUUGACCUAGCAACCCCAUUACUGGGUAUAUACCCAAAGGAAUGUAAAUCAU